CGAAAAAGAACAAAACUCGAACCCCCUGGUAUUGCGUCCUCUCCUUCCAGCCUCUCCGAGGCCCCACCAUCUGCUAAAAGAGAAGAUGCUCCGUACACACACUCUCACCAACCCCCAUCCCCAGCUCCUGCGGCCGAGGCCACCCCGGGGUGCUGGCGGGCCAGGGGCAGGAUGCUGCUGAGAAGCGCAAGCGGCACACGCCAGGCGGGAACCUGCCGGUGGGACUCGUGGGUAUGCAGGCCUCUCACUGCUGUGGCCUCUCCCAUUGCGGAGCACAGGCUCCAGACGCGCAGGCUCAGCGGCCAUGGCUCACGGGCCCAGCCGCUCCGCGGCAUGUGGGAUCCUCCCGGACCAGGGCACAAACUCGCAUGCCCUGCAUUGGCAGGCGGACUCCCAAGCACUGCGCCACCAGGGAAGCCUAAGAUUUCUCACCUUCUUCUUAAGUUUCUACUGAACACAGAAUGUUAAGAGAAAAAAAGAAAAAGCUAGAAGGCACAAAGAUGAAUAUUAUUUCUUAAAAGAUAAUUAUUUGUUAAACUCUAAUAUAUGCUUGCCCUCAAAGUGUUAGUCUAAGCAAGCUGUUGUAUCUGUCCCCUCUGUGCACAUCUGGCUUCAGGAAAGUAUGAACCCAGAUGUUCUUCAUCAUAUACCAUUUGUAAUAAACAUCAAGUUCCUUAAAGGUGGUGUUUAUACAACUUUGUAUUCUUCAGUAUUUCUAUUCUAGUACCUUUCCAUAACAAAUUCUCAAUAAAUAUUUGUUGAUGAAACUGCACUAGAAAUGGUACGAGGUACUAGAGAUACAAAGAGGCAUGAUAUUCAGCUCCUUCCCUCAAGGCAUUAAUGUUCUAGUCAAAAACAACAUGACUUUACAGUACGGAAAGUGCUACGGCAGAGUUAUGCACAGCCCAAGGAGUGAACACAAGCAGAGCACCUAACCCAACUGAGGAGGCAAACGCGAUUGAUUGUUCGAGGAUGAAUUGGGUUAAAGACUCAGAAAAGAUACUCCCAAUAGAAGCAACAGAGUAUGCAAUGGGCAAGAAAUGAGAGACAGCAUGACAGAGAGAAGAAAUCAAAAUGACUAAAGCAUUGCUUGUAGAGAGCAAGACCCUAGCCAGCUUCCACUUGUACCACCAUUCUCUCUCUUUGUGAUCAACUCACAUUGUUUUUAGCUCUUCAAAUGCACUACCCUCCAUCUUGCUUAAA